UACGGAGGGAGCUAGCGUUGUUCGGAAUUACUGGGCGUAAAGCGCACGUAGGCGGCUUUGUAAGUUAGAGGUGAAAGCCCGGGGCUCAACUCCGGAAUAGCCUUUAAGACUGCAUCGCUUGAAUCCAGGAGAGGUGAGUGGAAUUCCGAGUGUAGAGGUGAAAUUCGUAGAUAUUCGGAAGAACACCAGUGGCGAAGGCGGCUCACUGGACUGGUAUUGACGCUGAGGUGCGAAAGCGUGGGGAGCAAACAGG
rnacentral:rRNA from 1 species